GCGCAGCAGUCGAGAAUUUUUCUCAAUGGGCGAAAGCCUGAAGGAGCGACGCCGCGUGGGGGAUGAAUGGCUUCGGCCCGUAAACCCCUGUCAUUUGUGAACAAAUUGCUUCACCUAACACGUGAAGCAUUGAUUGUAACGGAAGAGGAAGGGACGGCUAACUCUGUGCCAGCAGCCGCGGUAAUACAGAGGUCCCAAGCGUUGUUCGGAUUCACUGGGCGUAAAGGGUGCGUAGGCGGUUUGAUAAGUCUGAUGUGAAAUCCCGCAGCUUAACUGCGGAACUGCAUUGGAAACUAUUUGACUAGAGGAAUGGAGGGGAGACUGGAAUACUUGGUGUAGCAGUGAAAUGCGUAGAUAUCAAGUGGAACACCAGUGGCGAAGGCGAGUCUCUGGACAUUUCCUGACGCUGAGGCACGAAAGCCAGGGGAGCAAACGGGAUUAGAUACCCCUGUAGU
rnacentral:rRNA from 1 species